AGAGAUGCACUGGGUAUAAAGCGUGCGUAGGUGGUGAUUUAAGUCCGUUGUGAAAGCCCUGGGCUCAACCUGGGAAUUGCAGUGGAUACUGGGUCACUAGAGUGUGGUAGAGGAUAGUGGAAUUUCCGGUGUAGCAGUGAAAUGCGUAGAGAUCGGAAGGAACAUCUGUGGCGAAGGCGACUAUCUGGGCCAACACUGACACUGAGGCACGAAAGCGUGGGGAGCAAACAGGAUUAGAUACCCUGGUAGUCCACGCCCUAAACGAUGCGAACUGGAUGUUGGGUUCAACUUGGAACCCAGUAUCGAAGCUAACGCGUUAAGUUCGCCGCCUGGGGAGUACGGUCGCAAGACUGAAACUUAAAAAUUAGACGG
rnacentral:rRNA from 1 species